AAAAUGUAUCUUUCAGAAUCCCGUGGUAUGAAGAAAAUGGCUAUGGGAAUGAUGCCACUUAUCUUCCACGUAGGAGCCACGUCGACCUGGAUGAUAUUGACUACGAUUCUAGCGGCGAAAUCCGUGUUUAUUGGUAUCAUCUUACUCGUGUGCAAGAUUGCUGUUAGUGCAGCCAAGAUUGGAUCUUUCUUCACAACCUUAAAAGCACAUUCUGGUCAAGGUCACCACCACGAGUGGGCGUGGUCGCCACCGCAUGAGCAUCAUGGAUAUAGAAGUUUAAAUGAGAUCAGUGCGUAACAUAUCACAAAUAUUGGCUCACCAGGUCCCGUUUAUGAAUUGGGUCAUGGCUGGGGCGAAACGUCACACAAAUCGAUGCCCACUGAAUAUUCGGAGUAUCAAGUCGAUAAAAAAUCAAGAAUAGGAUAAAUUGCUGAAUCCAUUAAUAAAAUGCAUUAAUUUAUAAAUAAUUUAUUUCACAAUAAA